GACGAACGCUGGCGGCGUGCUUAACACAUGCCAGUCGAACGGAAAGGCCCUGCUUUUGUGGGGUGCUCGAGUGGCGAACGGGUGAGUAACACGUGGGUAACCUGCCCUUGACUUUGGGAUAACUUCAGGAAACUGGGGCUAAUACCGGAUAGGAGCUCCUGCUGCAUGGUGGGGGUUGGAAAGUUUCGGCGGUUGGGGAUGGACUCGCGGCUUAUCAGCUUGUUGGUGGGGUAGUGGCUUACCAAGGCUUUGACGGGUAGCCGGCCUGAGAGGGUGACCGGCCACAUUGGGACUGAGAUACGGCCCAGACUCCUACGGGAGGCAGCAGUGGGGAAUAUUGCACAAUGGGCGGAAGCCUGAUGCAGCAACGCCGCGUGCGGGAUGACGGCCUUCGGGUUGUAAACCGCUUUCGCCUGUGACGAAGCGUGAGUGACGGUAAUGGGUAAAGAAGCACCGGCUAACUACGUG
rnacentral:rRNA from 1 species